rnacentral:rRNA from 1 species
CCAGACUCCUACGGGAGGCAGCAGUGGGGAAUAUUGCACAAUGGGGGAAACCCUGAUGCAGCGACGCCGCGUGAGCGAUGAAGUAUUUCGGUAUGUAAAGCUCUAUCAGCAGGGAAGAAAAUGACGGUACCUGACUAAGAAGCCCCGGCUAACUACGUGCCAGCAGCCGCGGUAAUACGUAGGGGGCAAGCGUUAUCCGGAAUUACUGGGUGUAAAGGGAGCGUAGACGGCGAGGUAAGCCUGAAGUGGAAGCCCGCGGCCCAACCGCGGAACUGCUUUGGGAACUGUUUUGCUGGAGUAUGGGAGGGGUAAGCGGAAUUCCUGGUGUAGCGGUGAAAUGCGUAGAUAUCACGAAGAACCCCGAUUGCGAAGGCAGCCUGCCGCAGCGUUACUGACGCUGAAGCUCGAAAGCGCGGGUAUCGAACAGGAUUAGAUACCCGGGUAGAC